AUUUCAAGAGGUGUCUGGUCGAUCAUCAAGCAGGGGCGACAGGGGGUUCUUCACCCAAACCCUAGUUUGCAAGAAAACCACAAAUUGGAGCCUCAAAUCACUUAGAAAUCGAAAUUCAAGCACUAAAUCGUGAUCACCUUGUCAAAAGGAUCCUAAGGCAAGGAAUCCGGAACGUCAAGUGGACACGCCGGAGGUGAUACCCGCGGAAAAGGUGCGCUUUGAAGGUAUGGAUGAAUCUCUCCCGGAUGAUGAUCAAGCAUUUUGUCAAGAACCGAACACGCAAUUUGAAGCUUCCGCACUGAAUAUGAUCUUGUCUAAACUUUAAACAUGUCAUAUAAAUUUUGUUAUUGGUGUUUUGAAUCCUUUAAACUAGUUAUUAGUUGACUAGUAAGGGUUGUCUUUAAAUGAAUUAUGCACCAUCUAGAACAUGUUUGGAAAAAUUUGUUAGUAUGUAUGGUUUAAAACACUAAUGUUUUUGUAAACUCUGAUUUUUUAUAAAGUUUCAUGAAAAAAAUUUAGCUUAAA